GAAGCCCCGAACCAAAGUUCGGAAGAUCUUAACUUUAUUGACUUCAGCCCCACCAGUAAAGGCAAGCCCCGGUGCAUAUCCCAGUAUUUCAAUCUAUUACAAUUCCAUUAUUAUAUUAUAUAUCUUGCAUUACAUCUAGCAGUUGUAAUGAAACCCUAGAUGCAUGAAUCUUAGGAACCAAUGUAUUGAACCCGAGUCCUCAUCGCUUAGAUGCUCUGCUAAAUAGGACCGGUAAAAGUCGGGUGAUUUCCUAUCACUCGCGCGAUAUAGGAGUUGCAUGUUUACAAUUCUGCAACCAUUAUAAGGAUAAUGGACAGGGUCAUGUGCUGUAAAACGACCUGAAGUUUACACUUCUAUUUUGGAUAAAAGUUUUAAGGUUGAAAUGUGUGGUAGUGCUGGCUAAGCAUUUGAAAGUACUAGCCACACACCGCGAAAUAUGGUAAGCGGUAAGCCUAGUACCCGAAUGGCCCGGCAAAUGGACACGUCUCCACCACUCGACUUUUAUUUUAUGUUUACAUGCACCGACGUGUGGGAGUACGUUCUGCAUGGCAGACAGGAAUACAGGUUUUGUAAUCGCGCUACAGACGUAUGUCCUGCACAAUUGGUGUGCGUACGGUCCUGCAGUCGCUUGUGGUGGCUCUAAUCCAUAACCCGGAAUAUGAGGGAAACGGUUGCUUCGGAACUAUCGUUGGAUGUUCCAAGCGUGUAGGUUAGGUCUACCUUGCAAGGUUAAAUUCGAUUCAGAAUCAUCCGCCUCUCACGAAGAUUGAGACUGCUUAUCCCUUUUGCCACAUCGAGUAAAAAGUGUAAUUGUUGAUGGAAUAAUCUUGAUGGAUGAUAAUCUAUAUCUUGCUUGUUUAGUAUAGGUGCUUACCUAGAAUGGCUAAUCAAGCUAGAAUCUGAAAGCUAAAACUUGAAAGUAAGUUAUACUCUUUGUUGCUUUUCAGCUGAAAAUAAACCCAGAACCUUUACAAUGCCUUCAUGAGUCUAGUUACGGGCUAAAGUAUACCCAAUCCCGGGUAAGCCUUGCUGAGUAUUAGUAUACUCAGCCUUGCUAGUUAUAUGUUUUGCAGGUAAUGUCUUGAAGACCCUACUCUUCCCUUGCCUUGGCCCUGUGCUCUUCCAGAAGGUUGGUCCGUGGAAUGGGAUCCGUUCCCGACCAACAUUGGUGAUACCGAGUGAUGUCGUGCCCGGGCUUAGCAUGACAUCUAUCUUGACGACGUGCUGUAAUCCUUGUGUAUAUUUUCCGCUGCUAAAAACCAUAACUCUAACAGUUUGUAAUAACUUUUCUAAAUUUGGAACUUCGUAU
rnacentral:lncRNA from 1 species